UUUCUUUAAAGAGUCAGUUUUUAAAAUUUUUCUGUAUUUCAUUCAAAAUGGUUUUUCAUUCAAAACUUCCUAAAAAUUUGAGAAGCCCAUGCAUGACAUUAGACACUGUGAUCUCAAAACUGGGGUGGAUGAAGGAGGGUUAGAUGUUAGAUAAUAGGCAAGGCCUAAUCUAGAAAAGUAUCUUUUCUUUUUCUAUCCCCCAUCUACUCCUCAAAGGGAAAAGACCUAUUUUCAAUAGUCUACUAACUCUGACAAACCAAGCUGAGAAAGAAGUAAGGCACUCCAUCAUGUAUCAAGAAUGAUCAAAUUAUGCCACCACAGGGAGUGGCCUCGAAAAAGCCAGUUCAUGCACCUGCGAUGGAUCCUGAUUUCACUGACAGGGGACCAUCAACAUAUCAUCGCAUAAAUGUCACCCACAUUCAGGGAGUCUAGUUUGGUGUCAUGAAGUUUCCGUAGCUCUCAGUCCAUAGUCUGUGAACAUAUGAGUGACAGUAGGAGGAAGUGUACCUUUUUUUUUUUUUCUUUAGAGUUGGCUUUUCACUGUUAGAUGAAGUAUGACUCUAUGGGUCACAAAAUUGAGGUUUCUUAUCUUCAGGGUGUUGCACAGUGUUAUUAGUCAACUUCCUGUUGCCACUGUCUUAAGCUUUUAGGACUAUAACUACCAGAACCAUAGCUGCCUGCAUGCUGCCAUAAUGAUGAUUAAUUGAACCUCUGAAAUUUUAACUGGGACUCCUCAAUUAAAUGAUUUUAUUGUUUAUUCUUGUUUUGUUUUUAAAAGUUGUCAGGGCCCUUGUUGUCUCUUCACAACAAUACAAACCUCACAAAGACAGAAGUUACUACCAGGGCCUGGGGUAUUGCUGUGAUAGGCUGGGCCUAUGAUAUAGUUUCUCAGAUGAGUUCUCAGUAGUGUUGUUCUGCAAGCUUUCCUCUCCCUUUAUGACUCUUCAUUGUGAUUUCUUUCUCAGGGCUAUAAGCAAUUUGAAGAGCCAAGAAAUGGUGCAUGUUUAACUCCCAUUCAUUUCCCUCUAAAAUGACUAGGUGAAUACAGCAUGAAGACCAUGUCAUGAUGUAAGUGUGAGAAACACCAGGAUUUUAUAACUACAUUGGAAAAGAAGAAGACAUUUCUAAUGCUACAUUUGUGAAGAAUUUACUAUUGAAGAACAUUGCCAACGUUCUAGAAAAAGUGAACGCAGGCUGUCCAGGGCACGGGCCUGGCCUUCAUCAUCUACACUGAGGCCAUUAAAACAUGGAAGUGUCCCAGCUCUGGUCAGUUCUCAUGCUGCUGAUGCUGGGUUUGGGGAGCAUGCUUGGAAACACAGCGGCCAUCCUCACCCCUCUGAUGGACAGCAAGGUCAUCUCCAGCUACCUGCCCAAGGAGGCCAUUUCAGAUUUGAAAGUGACCUUCAGGCCAUGACUUGCCGCUCCCUCAACUGGUACUGGAAGGCCAUGUGGGCGUUUGUGAGUCCAGUACUCAUCAUCAGCCUCUAUGUCUUCUACCUGAGUGACUAUAUCCUCACAGGGACACUGCAGUACCAAGCCUGGGAUGGCACUCACGUACCCGAUGUUCCUGCAGGGCUGGGAAAUAAGGCAGAGACCACACAGUCACUCAGAACACAAGGGACUAUUGCUGUGCUGUGAGAAGGUUCCAUGUGAUGGCAUGGGAACUUCGAGUAUUUCACAGAUGCUCAAUUUAGCACAGCAGAAGUGGGCUGUGAGUUUUUAACCAUGAUGCAUGGAGAGAGCAUGCCCCAAAGCAUCACAGUGGGCCUUUCCCUAGAAGUACCAGUAUGCUCUGGUGUGCCACACUGUACAUAUUAAUACAGAACAUUUCUACCACCACAGAAACCAUUAGUCUGUGCUGAAGGUUACAUAACAUUUAGGGCUCUAGAAUAAAGUACUAGAAAAAUUGUUUCUAUGGCAUUCCAGGAUAGGCUUCACACACAUUCUCUCACAUAUGCUCGCAAAGGUCAGAAUUACCUUUCUUCGUGGUUUUUCUGAAUUGCAGGGUAGUAGACACCACAGUCUUCACUCUUUAGCCUCUUCCCCUUCAUAGAAGGCUUGGGCGAACAGUUCUUUUGGACUUGAUAGGAGGGACCUUCCCCUGAUGCUCAAUCUCUUCUCCCAGGGGCAGCUGGUGACCAAGGAUUAUCCCCCACAUGCACUAGCUGUCAUCGGUUUGCUGGUGGCUUCAUCUGCCAUGUGCAUCACCCUGCUGGCCCUGGGGAUUUUCAUCUGGAAUUGCCUCAAGAGGGGAGGUUCAUCCCCAGUGGUCUAAGAAUGGACCUCCCAGGGACGGAAGUCAGCCACUAUCUGUUUCACAGUUGCUGCCUGCUGGUGGGGACACCUUGGCUGGAGUGCAGGUCUGGGACCUCCUGAAUCUGUAAAGAGGAUUAGGGAGCUUAGAAAAAGAAGACUACCUUGGGGAGGGGACCGCAUCCCUUAGAAGACUCCCUCCAUUAUUUGCCAUCUGAAGACUACAAGUUGUAGCCUUCUUGUUGUCAGGGGUUAAGGCCAGUACUGAAGAUCAUUGUCACCUAGACUCUAGGAAGCCCUAGAAUUCAAGGUAAGCUGUCGUUAGAAACUUGACCAUAACCUUGAGGAGCCAA